rnacentral:rRNA from 1 species
ACGAACGCUGGCGGCAGGCUUAACACAUGCAAGUCGAACGGGUGUAGCAAUACACCAGUGGCAGACGGGUGAGUAACACGUGGGAACCUUCCUAGGGGUACGGAACAACUCAGGGAAACUUGAGCUAAUACCGUAUACGUCCGUAAGGAGAAAGAUUCAUCGCCCCUAGACGGGCCCGCGUCGGAUUAGGUAGUUGGUGGGGUAACGGCCUACCAAGCCUACGAUCCGUAGCUGAUCUGAGAGGAUGAUCAGCCACACUGGGACUGAGACACGGCCCAGACUCCUACGGGAGGCAGCAGUGGGGAAUCUUGGACAAUGGGCGCAAGCCUGAUCCAGCCAUGCCGCGUGAGUGAAGAAGGCCUUAGGGUUGUAAAGCUCUUUUACCAGGGACGAUAAUGACGGUACCUGGAGAAUAAGCCCCGGCAAACUUCGU